AGGAAAUGCAAGUCCUGUAAAAGAAGUUCCAAUUACACAACGAAAUGAUUAUGUUGUACAACAUAAAAGUGAUAGUGAAUCUCAAGAUUGCCAUUAAUACAUCUGGCAAAUAUAUGCACCUAUAAAUAGGAAUCUUUUUCACAUUUUUUUUGUAGGUCUAUAAAUAGGAAUCUUUUUCACAUGCUAUGUACAAUUGAAGAUUAUAUCAUGUUUAAAUCAUAAUAUCCAUAUCUUUUUCUUUACAUAUCUUUUUCUUUCUCUAUUUUGUUCAGUGUCUGUUGGCAAACAACAAUCUCUCAUUGCAACAUAUCAAAUCUAAUGAAUCUAGCACAAAAGAUUAACCUCAUACCCCAAAAUCCCUCAUUUUAAUUUUCACAUACAAGAUCAUACUUCAGGAAUCAUAACUGAUAGCAAUCCAUAUCUCAACAUUUUAUAUUAAAAACAUUUUGCCCAUCUUACCUGAUGAUAAAACAACAAUUACGUAUUGCCACCCAAGUGUAGGAGUGUGCCUGCGAAUCGACCUCACAUCCGUAAAAGGCACUGCCCUUAUAGUAUAUAGACUUUUAUCUGCACAAUGAAUCCAAAUCACAAAACAAUCAAUUCAUCAACCAG
rnacentral:lncRNA from 1 species